rnacentral:tRNA from 1 species
AGUCCUGAAGUAGCUGAUACGUUGGAUUGCAAAUCCAAAGACGGAGGUUAACCUCUCCCGGGGCUU